UACAGAGGUCUCAAGCGUUUGUUCGGAUUCAUUGGGCGUAAAGGGUGCGUAGGUGGCGCGCUAAGUCGGGGUGUGAAAUUUCGGAGCUUAACUCCGAAACUGCAUUCGAUACUGGCGUGCUCGAGGACUGGAGAGGAGACUGGAAUUCAUGGUGUAGCAGUGAAAUGCGUAGAGAUCAUGAGGAAGACCAGUGGCGAAGGCGGGUCUCUGGACAGUUCCUGACACUGAGGCACGAAGGCCAGGGGAGCAAACGGG
rnacentral:rRNA from 1 species